rnacentral:rRNA from 1 species
UACGGGGGGGGCAAGCGUUGUUCGGAAUUACUGGGCGUAAAGGGCUCGUAGGUGGCCAACUAAGUCAGACGUGAAAUCCCUCGGCUUAACCGGGGAACUGCGUCUGAUACUGGAUGGCUUGAAUCCGGGAGAGGGAUGCAGAAUUCCAGGUGUAGCGGUGAAAUGCGUAGAUAUCUGGAGGAGUACCGGUGGCGAAGGCGGCAUCCUGGACCGGCAUUGACGCUGAAGCGCGAAAGCUAGGGGAGCAAACGGG